rnacentral:lncRNA from 1 species
CCUCACCCUCUCUGUUCCUUUGAUGAAAUGGAUCCAGAGCAUUUGCAUUUGGGUUACUGCACUGCAUUUCGACUUUCUUUAAGAAAAAUAGUGAGUACUUGCCCUUACACCUACAUAAUUAAAAGGCCCAUUGAAAUUAUGUUUGUAAAAAACUGACUUAGCAGUUUGGCCCCAAUGGUAAAUUCUAGCCUUCACCCGACUGCUUGUAACUUUAAGACUGGAAGGUUUUCCAGCCUCAACUAUUUUCACUUGAUACUUCUCUUUAUUCAAACUUUCCUGGAAUACCCUUCUUCCUCUUUUUUGCCUAGCUAAUUCCUACUAAUUGUUUAGAAACUUAAUUCAAGUCUCAUCUCAAAGAAGUCUGUGCAGGCUGUCGGAAUUAUUAGAUGUUCUUGUUUGACCCACCCUAAGACCUUACACAUCUAUCGUUAAGGUUAUCACUUUGCAUUAAAAUUAUGUAUUUAUGGGCCAGGCAUGGUGGCUCAGGCCUGUAACCCUAGCACUUUGGGAGGCCAAGACAGGUGGAUCACUUGAGCUCAGGAGUUCAAGACCAGCCUGGCCAAUAUAGUG